UGUUUUGGAUGCAGCAUUAUUCGUUGCCGCUAGGACCAAUCCUGAUAGACUAGUUGCAGUUUUGCUUUGCGGAUCUUGUUCAAGUGAUUGGAUGCAAAAAUCAUACUUGAGAUUAGGGUCUUUUGCUGCAGCUGUUUUGCAGGAAUCUCGAAUCAAGGUUUGCGCGGCUGCGAAACAGUUUAGGAGGAGAAAGAACAUUACAACUGAAACGAAGAACUUCAUGCUUUUGUUUUCUUUGUGAGAGAUGAGAAUAUAUGAAUAUGAUGUUAACUUUGUGAUUCACGAGGCUGAUAUAUAUAUAUAUAUAUCUGACGUAAGGGUAUAUGUCAUUGUUUCCCGUUUUCUUGUGUGUUAUAAACUUAUUAUAAAAAGAAUAUUUCAGUUUUAGUAAGAAGAUACUAUUUCAUAUUAAAAACUCUGUUUACAUUUUUAAAAACUAUAAUAUAUUCACUUGGAUUAUUUCUCAAAUUGUCAAUUUAUCUGAACAUGGUCAACAUGUAACAGUAGUUUUCCAUAUAUACACGUCGUCAGAUUUAGUCAACUCUCAGAGCAUCAUUACUGGUUCAAUUUCUUAGUGGAGUACCUGAUGAGUUUAAUAUUAAUAGAGUUUUAUUGUGUAAUUAAAAUUAAAACCAAUAAUAUGUACAUAACCAUUCGUAAAGUAACAUGUGGCAAGAUGGAUUGUGUUGUACGUUUAUGAAAGCUUUCUAUUUUAUGAUCUCUAAGCUGGAGUUUUGAUGUUCUUUCUGGUCUUUUUAUUGUUGUAUCUGGUGAUGAUAUGAUACAAAAAGCCAAGAGGUAUGGGAUCUGCAUGUUUUCAAAUAGUGCAUAGGAAAAAACAGAGGUUCAGACAAGAGCUACAAGAAGGCUCACCUAAGAAAUAUAAGCCUUUGGCCGGAGCUUCUCACGCCAAAGGACUCGUCCUUGAGCUCAUGUAAGACAUAGAAUAUGCUUCUUUAUCUAUUUUUUUUGUGUGUGUGGACAUUGUUGAUGAUGAGCGAUUCUCUGUCUGUUUGAUUAUGCAGAGGAAUGUAGGCUAAGCAGCCAUGUUCUGGUAUAUGUAAGUGUACUAGAGUACAACUUGUCAAGAAUGGAAAGAAGAUUGCUGCUUUUGUCCCCAACGAUGGUUGUUUGAACCUCAUUGAGCCAAAUGUAAGCUGAAUGAAUAAAGCCUUUUGUAACCAUUUAUGAUUAGUUUUGUCAAAGGUUGAAUUCAUGUUUUGUGUUAUGUUGUUUGCAGGACGAGGUUUGAUAUCUGGAUUUGGGCGUAAGAGUCAUACUGUGGGAGAUAUUCCAGGCGUAAGGUACAAGGUCGUCAAGGUUUCUGGUGUUUUACUCUCUGCUCUCUACAAGGACAAGAAGGAGAAGCCAAGGUCUUAAAACAAAACCUUCAAAGCUUUGAAUUUUAUUUUUGAUGGCAUAAGCACUUUUCAGUAUUUUAGUUAAAUAAAAGAACUCUUGUGUUAUGUUCUACUUUGGGAUUCAGUAACUUGGUGUGUUAAAUCUUGUAUUCUGAUGACCAUUUGAGUUUUUAGUUUAUUCGACCUUAUAAUAUGUCACUGCCAAUGGCAUGGAAUUCUAUUACUAAUCCAAAACAAGUGAUACAUAUCACUACAUAAUGUACUCAUUCGUAAUCCUGGCAAUUAUAAGUCAUAAAGAUAAACAAAAGUCACACAGCCAGCUUACAAAUUGAAUAAGGUAGCCAAACAAGUUUAAGAUCACAUCAGUGACCAAUCAAAACAGACCAGAAACUAAACAGACCAUAUCUAAUAUACAUAAAUAAUUUUAUAAUCAAUUAUACAUUUUAACUCAUACAAAAUUUUAACAAUAAUCUAUUGUAAAAAUUAAAUUUAGUAAAACAUAAGAUAAUCCACUAAAAUAUAUAAAAUUAAGCAAAAAAAUUAUGUAAAUUUAUUUACAAGUUUGUUUCUUUUCUACUAACAAUAAAAAAAAAGAACAGGAUGGGUUUUUUUUAUCAUCCAACUACAGAAAAUCACAAAAUAAAUGAUGUAAUGCCACAUCAAAUUCUUAAUAUAUAAUUAAAACAUAGAUUACUUACCAAAAGAAAAUCAUCUUGAACCUUUUAACAAGAAAAAAAAAAUUCAAAAAUUUAAAAAAUCAUAACUAAUUUUUCAGAUAACAUGGUUUAUUUAGUUGUUCAUAUACAAUAACAUGCACAAAAUUUAACUAUUAUGUAUAUUUCUAAAUAAUAAAAAUUUAUAUUAAAUAUUUACUCUAGUUACUUAAUUUAUUUGUUAAUUUUCAUCCCGCAUUUAGGGCGGACCAGCCCUAGUAUAAUUAUAACAUACUGUAUUGAUUUUUUCCGCUAAGACAGUGGAGUAUUUAAAUUUUCUUUUUUUUGCAGAUAUUAUUUUUAGGGUCUUUUUGAAAAAAAAAUUUUCAAAUAAUAGCAAAUAUUUCCAAUGGAAUAAUUUUCCUUUGCUCUUAAAUUUAUUAUUAGGUAAACGAAAAUCCACAUUACAUAAUGCAAGAACUUAUGGUAAUUUCAUCAGAGCAUAUUGGUAAAAGCUAAAGGAAUCAAAAUCUUCUGAAACAAAACAUUGUUCUCGUUUGUAACGGGAGAUUUAGCGUGCUUCUCUUUGAAACCAUCUUCACAAGUGACAGGUUCAUCCAAAGCAGCACUCAGAUGCAUAUUAGCACUUUUGUAAUCACUGGAUUUAACGUUCAUCAAAGCUUCUUUUAAAGAACCAUAAGCAUCGUCAUAAAGCUUUACGCAAGUGCGUAACGCGGGUUCAGUACUCGGUGCAUACUUUUUGCUCUUGAGAAUAGUCUCAACUAUCCCUUUCACGUUAAUUGUUUUGGAUGCAGCAUUAUUCGUUGCCGCUAGGACCAAUCCUGAUAGACUAGUUGCAGUUUUGCUUUGCGGAUCUUGUUCAAGUGAUUGGAUGCAAAAAUCAUACUUGAGAUUAGGGUCUUUUGCUGCAGCUGUUUUGCAGGAAUCUCGAAUCAAGGUUUGCGCGGCUGCGAAACAGUUUAGGAGGAGAAAGAACAUUACAACUGAAACGAAGAACUUCAUGCUUUUGUUUUCUUUGUGAGAGAUGAGAAUAUAUGAAUAUGAUGUUAACUUUGUGAUUCACGAGGCUGAUAUAUAUAUAUAUAUAUCUGACGUAAGGGUAUAUGUCAUUGUUUCCCGUUUUCUUGUGUGUUAUAAACUUAUUAUAAAAAGAAUAUUUCAGUUUUAGUAAGAAGAUACUAUUUCAUAUUAAAAACUCUGUUUACAUUUUUAAAAACUAUAAUAUAUUCACUUGGAUUAUUUCUCAAAUUGUCAAUUUAUCUGAACAUGGUCAACAUGUAACAGUAGUUUUCCAUAUAUACACGUCGUCAGAUUUAGUCAACUCUCAGAGCAUCAUUACUGGUUCAAUUUCUUAGUGGAGUACCUGAUGAGUUUAAUAUUAAUAGAGUUUUAUUGUGUAAUUAAAAUUAAAACCAAUAAUAUGUACAUAACCAUUCGUAAAGUAACAUGUGGCAAAGUCUAUGUGCGACCAGACGUUUCUUCCCAUUUGACGCUCUCUCUCUUGCUUUAUUAAUUUUUUAUUAUUAUAAAUGUCAGUCUCAUGAGUUACUCUUCCACUGCAUGUGCUCUUAGCUUUCCAUAUCAUACAUAAAAUAUCAAAAAUGAGAUCUCUUCUACAGUUAUUAAAAAACAAAAAUAUACCUUUUAAUAUUGAUUUUCUCAAAAUCAUAUUUGAGAUUAGGGUCUUUUGCUGCAGCCGUUUUGCAAGAAUCUCGAAUCAAGGUUUGCGCGGCAGCGAAACAGUUUAAGAGUAGAAAAAACAUUACAACUGAAACGAAGAACUUCAUGCUUUUGUUUUCUUUGUUAGAGAUGAGAAGAGAUGACUACGAUGUUAACUUUGUGAUUCAC
rnacentral:lncRNA from 1 species